GGGGUGGUGGCGCAGUUGGGAGCGCGUUAGACUGAAGUAAACUUUAAUCAAUCAAUCAUCUAAAGGUCAUCGGUUCAAGCCCGAUUCAUCCCA